rnacentral:rRNA from 1 species
CGAACGGGGUGAUUCAUCGUCAGCGGACGCCGGCUUCGCGUCGGUCGAGGAUGUUCCGCGGGGGACCUCGCGGCUAUCAGCGCGGGCACGCUGCUGUGCGCCGAUGUAUCCGGUUUCGCCGUCGUGCACUUCUCCCCUGGUAGAACGUCGCGACCCGCUGGGUGUCGGUCUACGGCCCGGGUGCGUUGGCUCACGCGCCGCCGGUAAAACGGCCGGCUGCCCGGCGCAAGGUAUCAGGCCGCACAUAUUGGUGCGUCGAGGCCGUCGCAAGCGCGCGCCACGGUACACGGAGGUACGGACCUAGCGCCAUCACCGGUCCUGGCCCGCUGUUGGUCGUACGGUUAACCUUCGACAAGCCUACGAACGACCCAACGUGUCGGGGGUCUCUCCCGCUCGUUGGCGACCGAUACCGAUCAGCGACGCUACUGCUUUGGUUACUCUUAGACCCGUCUUGAAACA